CAGCCCUCGGGUGGGAGGUCAACCCCGUGGGGAUACCCACCCUUUUCAUAAGCGAAAUUUCUACCCGCGAGCAGUUAUUCCGGUUCCGGGACAGUGUCAGGUGGGCAGUUGACUGGGGCGGUCGCCUCCCAAAGAGUAACGGAGGCGCUCAAAGGUUUCCUCAGCGCGGUCGGGAAUCGCGCGUAGAGUGUAAAGGCAGAAGGAAGCUUCACUGCGACACCGACGGGUGGAGCAGGGACGAAAGUCGGACUUAGUGAUCCGGCGGUGCUGCGUGGCAGGGCCGUCGCUCAACGGAUAAAAGCUACCCCGGGGAUAACAGGCUUAUCUCCCCCAAGAGUCCACAUCGACGGGGAGGUUUGGCACCUCGAUGUCGGCUCAUCGCAUCCUGGGGCUGUAUUAGGUCCCAAGGGUUUGGCUGUUCGCCAAUUAAAGCGGUACGUGAGCUGGGUUCAGAACGUCGUGAGACAGUUCGGUCCCUAUCUGUCAUGGGCGUAGGAAAAUUGAAGAGAGCUGUCCCUAGUACGAGAGGACCGGGAUGGACAGACCUCUGGUGUACCAGUUGUCCUGCCAAGGGCACUGCUGGGUAGCUAUGUCUGGACGGGAUAAGCGCUGAAAGCAUCUAAGCGCGAAGCCCCCUCUAAGAUAAGUUUUCCCGCUCGGUUAACGAGGUAAGACCCCAGAGAGAUGAUCUGGUUGAUAGGCCGGAGGUGUAAUGGCAGCAAUGUCUUAAGCUGACCGGUACUAAUAGGUCGAGGACUUAACCUU
rnacentral:ncRNA from 1 species